CCUACGGGAGGCAGCAGUGGGGAAUAUUGCACAAUGGGCGAAAGCCUGAUGCAGCAACGCCGCGUGAAGGAAGACGGUUUUCGGAUUGUAAACUUCUAUCAAUAGGGAAGAAAGAAAUGACGGUACCUAAAUAAGAAGCCCCGGCUAACUACGUGCCAGCAGCCGCGGUAAU
rnacentral:rRNA from 1 species